rnacentral:rRNA from 1 species
GAUGAACGCUGGCGGCGUGCCUAAUACAUGCAAGUCGAGCGAACAGACGAGGAGCUUGCUCCUCUGACGUUAGCGGCGGACGGGUGAGUAACACGUGGAUAACCUACCUAUAAGACUGGGAUAACUUCGGGAAAGCGGAGCUAAUACCGGAUAAUAUAUUGAAGCGCAUGGUUCAAUAGUGAAAGACGGUUUUGCUGUCACUUCUAGAUGGAUCCUCGCCGCAUUAGCUAGUUGGUAAGGUAACGGCUUACCAAGGCAACGAUGCGUAGCCGACCGGAGAGGGUGAUCGGCCACCCUGGAACUGAGACACGGUCCAGACUCCUACGGGAGGCAGCAGUAGGGAAUCUUCCGCAAUGGGCGAAAGCUUGACGGAGCAACGCCGCGUGAGUGAUGAAGGUCUUCGGAUCGUAAAACUCUGUUAUGAGGGAAGAACAAAUGUGUAAGUAACUAUGCACGUCUUGACGGUACCUAAUCAGAAAGCCACGGCUAACUACGUG